UACGUAGGGGGCGAGCGUUGUCCGGAAUCAUUGGGCGUAAAGCGCGUGUAGGCGGCCCGGUAAGUCCGCUGUGAAAGUCCAGGGCUCAACCCUGGGAUGCCGGUGGAUACUGUCGGGCUCGAGUCCGGAAGAGGCGAGUGGAAUUCCUGGUGUAGCGGUGAAAUGCGCAGAUAUCAGGAGGAACACCAAUGGCGAAGGCAGCUCGCUGGGACGUUACUGACACUGAGGCGCGAAAGCGUGGGGAGCGAACAGG
rnacentral:rRNA from 1 species